rnacentral:rRNA from 1 species
UACGUAGGUGGCGAGCGUUGUCCGGAUUUACUGGGCGUAAAGAGCGCGCAGGCGGCUGGUCAAGUCCGAUGUGAAAGCUCCCGGCUUAACUGGGAAAUUGCAUCGGAAACUGAUCGGCUGGAAGGUGGGAGAGGGUAGCGGAAUUCCCGGUGUAGUGGUGAAAUGCGUAGAUAUCGGGAGGAACACCUGUGGCGAAAGCGGCUCACUGGACCACAACUGACGCUGAGGCGCGAAAGCUAGGGGAGCAAACAGG